AACGAACGCUGGCGGCAUGCCUAACACAUGCAAGUCGAACGAGACCUUCGGGUCUAGUUGCGCACGUGUGCGUAACGCGUGGGAACCUGCCUUUAGGUUCGGAAUAACUCAGAGAAAUUUGAGCUAAUACCGGAUGAUGUCUUCGGACCAAAGAUUUAUCGCCUUUAGAUGGGCCCGCGUUGGAUUAGCUGGUUGGUGGGGUAAAGGCCUACCAAGGCGACGAUCCAUAGCUGGUCUGAGAGGAUGAUCAGCCACACUGGGACUGAGACACGGCCCAGAAUACUACGGGACGGAGCAGUGGGGAAUAUUAGACAAUGGGCGAAAGCCUAAUCCAGCAAUGCCGCGUGAGUGAUGAAGGCCUUAGGGUUGUAAAGCUCUUUUACCCGAGAUGAUAAUGACAGUAUCGGGAGAAUAAGCUCCGGCUAACUCCGUG
rnacentral:rRNA from 1 species